ACUUCUGAUCCCAGCGUGAAUGAGACUGUAUGUGUCAAUGAGAUAGGAAGAUACACAUGCUUGUCCACAAGUGUAUUGUGGUGUGACCUGUGAGUUGGAAAUUGAUGACUGUGGCUCCCCAUGGUGUCCAUAUGGUGCCACAUGUCAGGUGCUCUUGGGGCUUACUUUAGUGACUGUGCACCACUGUGCACUCAACUUUAAUGAAUGUGCCAGUCAGCCAUGUCUCCAUGGAGGUUUAUGUGUGUGUGGAAGAAAUAACUACUACCAUGACUGCACAGGGUGUGGAUUCCCAAGGACACACUGUGAGACCUUGAUGCCUCUUUGCUGGUCAAAGACUUGUCAUAAUAAUGCUACAUGUGAAGACAUUGUUGGCAGCUAUAUUUGUCACUGCUGGCCUGAAUACACAGGUACUCUAUGUGAGACCGUCUUAAAUAAAUGCAUUAUCAGCCCCUUCCAAUUUGUUGGGAAAUGUACUGAACAAUAUUUUUGGACACAUUGUUGGCUAGCCUUCCUAUUUUAAUUACCCUGGAACCUUAGGCUAUGUUUGUAUCUGUCAGCCU
rnacentral:lncRNA from 1 species